rnacentral:rRNA from 1 species
ACGUACACUCCUACGGGAGGCAGCAGUGGGGAAUAUUGCACAAUGGGCGCAAGCCUGAUGCAGCCAUGCCGCGUGUAUGAAGAAGGCCUUCGGGUUGUAAAGUACUUUCAGCGGGGAGGAAGGCGAUAAGGUUAAUAACCUUGUCGAUAGACGUUACCCGCAGAAGAAGCACCGGCUAACUCCGUGCCAGCAGCCGCGGUAAUACGGAGGGUGCAAGCGUUAAUCGGAAUUACUGGGCGUAAAGCGCACGCAGGCGGUCUGUCAAGUCGGAUGUGAAAUCCCCGGGCUCAACCUGGGAACUGCAUUCGAAACUGGCAGGCUAGAGUCUUGUAGAGGGGGGUAGAAUUCCAGGUGUAGCGGUGAAAUGCGUAGAGAUCUGGAGGAAUACCGGUGGCGAAGGCGGCCCCCUGGACAAAGACUGACGCUCAGGUGCGAAAGCGUGGGGAGCAAACAGGAUUAGAAACCCCAGUAGUCCCAUG